rnacentral:rRNA from 1 species
GGGAUUUUCCGCAAUGGGCGCAAGCCUGACGGAGCGACGCCGCGUGCGGGAUGACGUCUUUCGGGAUGUAAACCGCUUUUCCGGGGGAGGAGGACGGACAGUACCCCGGGAAGAAGCCCCGGCUAACUACGUGCCAGCAGCCGCGGUAAUACGUAGGGGGCGAGCGUUGUCCGGAAUGACUGGGCGUAAAGCGCGCGCAGGCGGCCGGCCGCGUCGGACGUGAAAGCCCCCGGCUCAACCGGGGCACGUCGUCCGGGACGGGUCGGCUGGAGGCAGUGAGAGGGGGGUGGAAUGCCGGGUGGAGCGGUGAAAUGCGUAGAGACCCGGCGGAACACCAGGGGCGAAGGCGGCCCCCUGGCGCUGACCUGACGCUGAGGCGCGAAGGCUAGGGGAGCGAAC